rnacentral:sRNA from 1 species
GCUGGUUUCUCCGGAUGAAGUCAGUACCAGAGCCAUUGGCACUGUGCUGGUGGCCCUGCAGCAAGGCCUGAGGCCUGGGCAUGUGGAAGAUUCUGGAGUCCCGCGCUUAGCACUCUUUGAUGUCAGGGAGCCCCAGCAUUGGCAAGUGCCUCUUCCUUUCCCGCGUGCCAGGAACCAGUCUAAGGCCGACUCCAGUUUCCACGGGUGGCACCCCUGCCUUGUCUCCUGUGCCGGCUGUCAUCUGACCAGCGUCCGUUUCAGACCUGCCUGCCACCUCCUGCAGAGGCCAGGAGCCCCUCUACGCUGCUGGUGCUUCACGUUUGGCCAGUUCUAAGUGGACAUUCUUUUUUCUUGAGACAGUCUCACUCUGUCGCCCAGGCUGAAGUGCAGUGGUGUGAUCUUGGCUCACUGCAACCGACACCUCCCGGGUUCAAGCAAUUCUCAUGCCUCACCCUCCCAAGUAGCUGGGAUUACAGGUGCAUGCCACCACACCCAGCUAUUUUUGUAUUUUUAAUAGAGACAGGGUUUCUUUCUUUUCUUUUCUUUCUUUCUUUUUUUUUUUUGAGACAGAGUUUUGCUCUUGUUGCCCAGGCUGGAGCGCAAUGGUGGAAUCUUAGCUCACUGCAGCCUCCACCUCCUGGGUUCAAGCGAUUCAACCUCCCGAGUAGCUGGGACUAUAGGUGUGCACCACUACACCUAGGUAAUUUUGUAUUUUUAGUAGAGAUGGGGUUUCACCAUGUUGGCCAGGCUGGUUUUGAACUCCAGACCUCAGGUGAUCCACUUGCCUCGGCCUCCCAAAGUGUUGGGAUUACAGGCAUGAGCCAUCGUGCCUGGCUGAGACAGGGUUUCAUCAUGUUGGCCAGGCUGGUCUCGAACUCAUGACCUCAGGUGAUUUGCCCACCUCGUCCUCCUACAGUGCUGGGAUUACAGGCACGAGCCACUGCACCCGGUCUCUAAGUGGACAUUCUGAGAAAUAGUUUAAACACAACGGCUCUAGGUCAAAGCCACUGAAGAUGACCUUUCAGCCCCCUCUCUAUUUCCUUCAGGUCGAGUCCCAGACACCAGGAGUCUGAAUUUGGAGAAGGCUGGGGUAGAUACUAGCCCCGACACUCAGAAGAUCCUGGUGGACUCCCGGGAAGCCACCUCUGUGCCCCACAUCUACGCCGUUGGUGACGUGGUGGAGGGGCGGCCUGAGCUGACACCCACAGCGAUCAUGGCCGGGAGGCUCCUGGUGCAGCGGCUCUUCGGCGGGUCCUCAGAUCUGAUGGACUACGACAAUGUUCCCACGACCGUCUUCACCCCGCUGGAGUAUGGCUGUGUGGGGCUGUCCGAGGAGGAGGCAGUGGCUCACCACGGGCAGGAGCAUGUUGAGGUCUAUCACGCCCAUUAUAAACCACUGGAGUUCACGGUGGCUGGACGAGAUGCAUCCCAGUGUUAUGUAAAGAUGGUGUGCCUGAGGGAGCCCCCACAGCUGGUGCUGGGCCUGCAUUUCCUUGGCCCCAACGCAGGCGAAGUUACUCAAGGAUUUGCUCUGGGGAUCAAGUGUGGGGCCUCCUAUGCGCAGGUGAUGCGGACCGUGGGUAUCCAUCCCACAUGCUCUGAGGAGGUAGUCAAGCUGCGCAUCUCCAAGCGCUCAGGCCUGGACCCCACGGUGACAGGCUGCUGAGGGUAAGCGCCAUCCCUGCAGGCCAGGGCACACGGUGCGCCCGCCGCCAGCUCCUCGGAGGCCAGACCCAGGAUGGCUGCAGGCCAGGUUUGGGGGGCCUCAACCCUCUCCUGGAGCGCCUGUGAGAUGGUCAGCGUGGAGCGCAAGUGCUGGACAGGUGGCCCGUGUGCCCCACAGGGAUGGCUCAGGGGACUGUCCACCUCACCCCUGCACCUCUCAGCCUCUGCCGCCGGACACCCCCCCAGGCUCCUGGUGCCAGAUGAUGACGACCUGGGUGGAAACCUACCCUGUGGGCACCCAUGUCCGAGCCCCCUGGCAUUUCUGCAUUGCAAAUAAAGAGGGUACUUUUUCUGAA